CUGCGGAGAGAGUCCUCAGCGCCAGCCUUUCCUGGCCUAAUUAAGCUGGGUAAUGAGUAGCUCAGAGGAGGGGAUAAAAGCCCCAGGCGGCUUAGAGCUGGGACCGUUUAUGACAGGGGCGUCUGCAGCUGGUGACAUUCCUAGGAAAGUUAUUUCUCAGAACCCUGGGAAGUUGCGUGCUGUUUCCUUAGCAAGCAGAGUGACGCCCCGAAGGACAUUCUGAUUGUCAUCACUGGGGGAGGCAGACAGCUUACCACUGCACCUGGAGAGUAGAGGCUGGGGGCCCGCUAAGCCCCCUGCCCCCUGCAGUGCACAGGACAGCGCCAGAUCAAAGAAAUACCUGGCACAAAUGUCAGUGGUGCCAAGGAGGAAAAACCCUGCUGAAUAAGCGGGGAGGAGAGCCCUGCCCACUAAUCCCUCCUGGCAGGAAACUUCCCCCCCGGGCCCCUCUCUACCUUGCCCCGUGGGUCUGCAGCUGUUUUGUGUCCAGGAGCCUGAGAGAGACACAGAAGCAGCUGGGAGGAGAAAAAGCGCGGCCAGGGGCCCUCCUGGUCCUUCUGCCGUAGCCACAGGUUCUGAAACCAAAGCGAAACCACCAGAGAGUGAUUCAUGUGGGUAUGGCCCUCCCUUCCCCUGCCCAGAAAGGUUUCUCUUGAGCCCAUAUGCUAGUUUCUGUCAUGCAAACGCCCUGGCAGUGCCCUCCUUGCCUUGGCGCAGUGGCUCUGAUUGGGUAGGCAUCCCCCGGGGUUAACACUGGCACAAAGUCACGUAAAUCUUGGCUGCGCCUAAGUCUGGUGUACUCUCGGAUGUGACCUGGCGUGGUCCUGGAGGGCCAGCCAGCUAGCUUCUAGCCUCGGUAUCAGCCUGGACCAAACCAAAGGAAACCGUCCCAGGUGAAACAGGAUAGACACCAUCCCCUGAUCAGCAUUCCCUAGUGCCUCCCUUUCAGUGCCCAGUUUAGAUUCCUCUCUCCAAAUGCCCCAGACCUGUGCAGAUUACUCAUUGGGCCGCUUCGUGCCCCAGAUGCAAAUUUACCGUGUUUCAUUUGUAUGUGAAAUUCUUCGGAGACAAGGCUGGAAUGCAGCUUAAUUUGCCCUGCUUUGGACCAGGUUGAUAAACAUGCCCCCAGCCUGUCCCGGCACUUGAGAAUCUGGAAAGCAGCUAUGCUUCAAUUACAGUGCAAUUUCAGGAGUUCGCUCGCUGGUCCCCCUUGGCUCUUUGUCUACCUUAUUAUUUGUGUCUUGUUUGUUUGUUUAAAUGAGAACUUUGGUAGGCAGUUCCCUCUCCCGCCUCCCCCAGAGGCGAGUUUGUGUUGCUAAAGGACUUUUUCUGCCUCCCUCUGGGUUUACAAAGCCAGGGUAUCUCUGUUGACAAAGGGUCUGCUGUCUGGCACUGGGCCUGGCGGUUAGGAACUGUGUAAGAAAUGCAGCUGCCUCCUACAGAUGCCUGCCCUGCUCCUGUAAGCAGCAAAGUAACCCCGCGCCACCUUGGGAAGACCCCACAUCCCAGCUUCUGCUCUCUGAGCACUCUGCCCUGCCAACCCUGCAACGCUAGGGAUUCAAGAAACAUGGAAACGGCAGUGGGGGACUGCGUGAGGCAUUCAGGGAAUAGGGGAUCGUGACACUGUCUGUAGGUGGGUUGGCUUAGCAGAGGGAUUGGGAGCAGCCGGCUGGAGGGGUGGAAAGAACGGGACCGGGAGCCAGGAAGCUGAGCUUUUGUUCAUCCCAGCUUUGCCACUGCCAAGUCAGGUGGUCUUGGGCCAGACUGGGCCAAGUCUGCGCCUUCCUGUGUCAAACGCAGACUCUCAUCUCAAGGUACUUUUCUACUUUACAGAGUCUCUUGCCUUUAGAAUGCUAAUUUCUUUGACUAUAGCCCAUUUCCUCCUCCAGAGACAAGGUAACCCAAUAAA